rnacentral:tRNA from 1 species
GGAGAGGUGUCGGAGUGGCUGAUCGAGCUGGUUUCGAAAACCAGUGUACCGCUUGCGGUACCGCGGGUUCGAAUCCCGCCCUCUCCG